ACAUCCAGAGAAUUUAGCAGAGAUGCUUUAGUGCCUUCGGGAACUCUGAGACAGGUGCUGCAUGGCUGUCGUCAGCUCGUGUUGUGAAAUGUUGGGUUAAGUCCCCGNAACGAGCGCAACCCUUAUCCCUUUGUUGCCAGCACGUAAUGGUGGGAACUCAAAGGAGACUGCCGGUGAUAAACCGGAGGAAGGUGGGGAUGACGUCAAGUCAUCAUGGCCCUUACGAGUAGGGCUACACACGUGCUACAAUGGCGCAUACAAAGAGAAGCGACCUCGCGAGAGCAAGCGGACCUCAUAAAGUGCGUCGUAGUCCGGAUUGGAGUCUGCAACUCGACUCCAUGAAGUCGGAAUCGCUAGUAAUCGUAAAUCAGAAUGUUACGGUGAAUACGUUCCCGGGCCUCGUACACACCGCCCGUCACACCAUGGGAGUGGGUUGCAAAAGAAGUAGAUAGCUUAACCUUCGGGAGGGCGUUUACCACUUUGUGAUUCAUGACUGGGGUGAAGUCGUAACAAGGUAAGCGUAGUGCU
rnacentral:rRNA from 1 species